UCAGGCAUGAUGGGAAUUGGAGUAGGAGAGGAUGCAGGGCAUCAAGGGAAAUGGAGUCCCUAGAAUUUUAAAAAAUAAGCGUUGGGGGAUACUGCUCUGCAAGAGAGCGAUUACCUAGCAUUCUCUGGAGGCCCGGGGUUCAAUUCCCAGCCCCCCCCCCCACACACACACACAAGUUUAGCGUUUUCUCUAUGCCAAGCCCUGUUCUAAACAUUGGCACUUUCAGUGGACUCUGGAAUUCAGCGAUUCUGCCAUCACAUUCAGGAAGCAAGCAUGUCCCUUAAAACUAAUAUUUCAGGCUAUAUCCUUCCUGCCUGAGGUUGCUUAGACAUUCCCUCCUACCUCACUAGCACUUUCUCAAGUUCCAUUAAGGGUGUCCACACCUUUGAUACUUUUCUAAACUCUCCACUAUUUUAGCAUCUUCCUAGCAAAGCCUGAGCAGGGGUCAACCCAACAGUCUCUCCUAUCUAAGCUCCCCUUUACAGUCGUCCCAUCUCCCUUUCAACCUCUCCACCCUUUUCAUCUUCAUACAAACUUGUUUCUCUUUCCUGUUUAGAAACAGCAACAAGUUUCCCUUAGCCAGGAGUUUUGAAUCACCACUCCCUCUCCUAUCCACCUUAUGAUCCUCAUCCUCCCCUUCACAGUCCAGUUUUUGGAAAUAUAUUUUAUGUUUCUAGUCUCUGCUUCUUCACUUAUUCUUUGAUUGCCCAUAUCAUAAACCAGCUCCUCCAUCAAACACUCCCCUGACAACUAGAGGUGGUUGUCACCAGGAUGCUAAGUCCAAUGGUUAUUUUUCAAGUCUCAUCUUGUUUGCCUUCCCAAUAGUAUUAGUCAUUGUUAAGCACUCCCUCCCGGGAACUCUCCUCCUUUUGCUUCUGUGAUAUUUCACUCUCCUGCUGGUUCUCCUCCCUAUGUGACUGCUCUUUCUCAGAUCCAUUCCUCUUACUCUAGAGAUUGUGGUAGGCAGAAUAAUAGUCUUCAAAGAUGUUCAUGACUGCCAGGCACAAUGGCACCUGCCUAUAAUCCCA
rnacentral:lncRNA from 1 species